rnacentral:rRNA from 1 species
AGGAUUAACGCUGGCGGCGUGCCUAACACAUGCAAGUCGAACGAGGUAGCAAUACCUAGUGGCAGACGGGUGAGUAGCGCGUGGUCAACCUACCGUUGAGUGGGGGAUAACUAGCCGAAAGGUUAGCCAAUACCGCAUACGUCUCCGAGGGGCAUCCCUUGGUGAUAAAAAGGAGCAAUCCGCUCGAUGACGGGACCGCGUCCCAUUAGCUAGUUGGUAGGGUAACGGCCUACCAAGGCAUCGAUGGGUAGCUGGUUUGAGAGAGCGACCAGCCACACUGGGACUGAGAUACGGCCCAGACUCCUACGGGAGGCAGCAGUGAGGAAUUUUCCGCAAUGGGCGAAAGCCUGACGGAGCGACGCCGCGUGUGGGAAGAAGGCCUUCGGGUCGUAAACCGACUGUCGAAGGGAAGAUAAUGACGGUACCCUUGGAGGAAGCCCGGCUAACUACGUGCCAGCAGCCGC